GACAGGGUUUUGCUAUGUUGCCCAGGCUGGUUUCAAACUCCUGGACUCAAGUGAUCCACUCGCCUUGACCUCCUGAAGUGUUGGGGUUACAAGCGUGAGCCACUGGGCCCGGCCUGGUAAAGCUUUAAAAAUAAAAAUUUAAGUCACCUUUACGAAGGGAAAUUUAUGUCCUGCUUUUAGGCAGAAAGGGGGAGGUCAAAGUUGUUCCUGAGUCUUUAGUUUCUGAACUGUUUUAAGCUCAAGAAUAAUCCUUAUGCUGAAGUGGCAUAUUUGGGGUGGCAUAUUCUCAUCCUCUUCACUAUGAAUGUGGACCACAUUUUUGCAGCUUUUAUUUCUGCAGUUACUUAUGUUUCUUUCUCUGCUAUUAUAUGAUCAGCUCCAUAAGUAAAAGACCUGUCUUACCUGCACAUCCUCAGCACAGAGCUCAAGCAUUAAAUAAAUAUUAGGGGAACUGGUUGUACUUUCCUACCAGCCCAUAAAUGGGCAUCAGAAACUCAACGUGUUAGAAUUAUUUGAAAAUCAGAGUAACUAGUUUGCCGACUUCUAGUGUGCAGCCUUUACGCCAGCUGUUGUGGCUGUGUAGGGGUCUUCUUUUCUUCCAUCCCUAUUCUACGAUGCAUUCAACAUAAGCGAAGUGUUAUUAUUCACGAAAGGCGCUAAUUUGUGGACGGAUGCACCUAAUGUUCUUAACCCCUGGUUUCUUCGCACUAAAACCAAUCCCAGUAGCAUUCCGUUUCAAGUGAAAGGUUUUUAUUUUUUUAAACUAAGUAAAUUUCUUUUUCUCCCAAUUUACUCACUGCAGUACCUUAUACUACAAGAACCAGCAACUGGCUUCCUCUUAAUGUCUAAAUAUAAUAUCAUUGUUAAAAAUUAGAGACUUUGUCACAAUUUGCAUUUUUUAAAAGUAAGGUAAAUAAAGUAUCUCAUUAUACAGAAGCACAAGGUCUCGUUCUUGUACAUUUCGCUCUUCCCAAAUAUUCUGCAAUCAGAACCCUGAUUGCAAAACUAAGCACAUGGAUUCUCAAAAGACACCAGGCCAGAGAAUUCUUUCAUCCUAGUCCCAAUCUCGCCCUUGAAAGCGUGGGACGGGAAAGGCUGCGCCACGGUUAAUAAAUGAGGGCUGCCAAAGGCCGUCGGAGGCCGCGGGGCUCGGCAGGCAGGCGAAGACCCAGCGUCGCAUUGCAGAGUCGAGACGACCUGGGCUGCCGUGACGCCGCAGUCGCCGGCCCUAGUUUCCCCCGCCCUGCCCGAGCCCGUCCGCGCCUCUCGCCCGACUCCGGGUACCACCGGCGACUCGGGUCGGCCCCUUCCGGCUUGUUCCGGCGUCCGGCCUGGCAUGCGGGUGCUGCGGCUGCUGCCGCUGCCGCUGCCGCGGGGGCUGCGGCUUGGGAAGCUCCGCGCUUCCGCAGGCCUGGCCUCCGCGGCCCGGGCCCCCGCAGCCUGUCGCUGGACCCCGCCCCGGCCCAGCGCACCGCCCUCAGGCCCCGAGCCCCGCCCUGGCCUCCGCCUCGGCCUCGCCUCCAGCCCCGGGACGCGGCCCGCCACCGCCGCUGCCGCCAGCCCAGACGCGCCGCCCGCAUGCGCCGCGACCAUGGAGCGCCCCGAAGCGGGAGGAAUUAAUUCCAAUGAGUGUGAAAAUGUAUCAAGAAAAAAGAAAAUGUUAGAGGAAUUUGAAGCCAAUACUAUGGAUUCUCUGAUAGACAUGCCAUUUGCCACUGUAGAUAUUCAGGAUGACUGUGGAAUCACUGAUGAACCUCAAAUAAAUUUGAAGAGAAGUCAAGAAAAUGAAUGGGUCAAGAGUGAUCAAGUAAAGAAGAGGAAAAAAAAGAGAAAAGAUUAUCAACCCAACUAUUUCCUGUCCAUUCCAAUCACCAACAAAGAGAUUAUAAAAGGAAUUAAGAUCCUGCAGAAUGCAAUAAUACAACAAGAUGAGCGACUGGCCAAAGCAAUGGUCAGUGAUGGUUCCUUUCAUAUUACCCUGCUGGUGAUGCAAUUAUUAAAUGAAGAUGAAGUAAACAUUGGUAUUGAUGCUCUUUUGGAAUUGAAACCAUUCAUAGAAGAACUCCUCCAGGGAAAACAUUUGACUUUGCCCUUUCAAGGGAUUGGCACUUUUGGAAAUCAGGUUGGAUUUGUGAAGCUGGCAGAAGGAGAUCAUGUAAACUCACUUUUGGAGAUAGCAGAGACUGCAAAUAGGACAUUUCAAGAAAAAGGCAUCCUGGUAGGAGAGAGCAGAAGUUUUAAGCCUCAUUUGACCUUCAUGAAGUUGUCAAAAUCACUGUGGCUCCGUAAGAAUCCUAGGGGGUUCCUCAUGCAAAUUCAGACAUCUGAUGGCCUGCUCUCAUAUACCAGAGUUUUGGAGAUGGGCAUGCAGAUUAAUAUCCGCUCCCUGCUCUCCAUGACCCUUUGUUGCAGUUAAGACUGAUUUGCAGCUCUAGAAAUGAAGGCCAUGUGUAGUAGGAGUGAAAAAAAUAGAUCCUGAUUUAUAUGAAAAGUUUAUCAGUCACAGAUUUGGAGAAGAAAUAUUACAUCGCAUAGAUCUUUGCUCCAUGCUGAAGAAAAAGCAAAGUAAUGGUUAUUAUCACUGUGAAUCUUCCAUUGUGAUUGGUGAAAAGAACGGAGGGGAGCCCGAUGACGCUGAACUAGUAAGGCUCAGUAAGAGGCUGGUGGAGAACGCGGUGCUCAAGGCUGUCCAGCAGUAUCUGGAGGAAACACAGAAUAAAAACAAGCCGGGGGAGGGGAGCUCUGUGAAAACCGAAGCAGCUGAUCAGAAUGGCAAUGACAAUGAGAACAACAGGAAAUGAGCCCGGAACGCAGGCCCCCAUGUCUCUGUGCAAAGCCUCCCUGCUUCCCUCUGCUGAGUCUAGGGACUGACUUGCAGCGUGCUGUUUAAGUUAAGUUUCUCUGGUGCAAUCUGUGAAGAUUGCCUAAUACUUUUCAUGAUUGAUGUGUUCGCAUUUCUGAAACACAACAGAAGAAAAAUGGAGUGCUGGGACUGGCAGAGGAAAUUAAUUGAUGAAAGAAGAAUGGCCCAAGUUUCAUUCGCCCUCAGCCACGCACAAGGGAAAGGGAACUUUGGGUUAUGCCUCCUGGAUGCAAAUUAAAGGCCGAGAAAGAGGCCUUGCCAUCAAUGGAAUACUGCCAUUUAUAUUGCUUAGCAGGGCAUUUGACUACUUUAUCUGAGGCCAGAACUCUCACACACAGCUAUCAAGUGCUAAGUUUAAAAUAAUCACUGUUGAAAUUGUCAUCUGUACAAUUAGUCCAUAAUGUUUCAUGUUUGUCCUAAGUGUGCUGUUGCUAUGCAGUGAUCUUUAUUUAUAGUAAAUUAUGUUUCAUGUAAAUGAUAUAUUUUUGGUGAAAUGCAACCUUUUCUAUAAAAUGUGGGCAACAUUUAAAAGUUUUUUUUAAAUCCUAUUUUGAUAAGUCAGUAUGCCAUAAUAAGGAAAUGUUAUUAUAUAAUUUUUUUUUCUUAGGCAAGAAACCUAUUGGAAUUCGAGACUUAAUUAAUGAAGCUUUGCAUCGAGAAACGAUGGGUCUGAAGUCCAAAGUGAAACAGAUAAAGGAACUUUUAUUAAAGCCUGAGACUCAGGCCAAAAUUAGGAGGGAGCUUUUUGAAGGAAGACUUAUUAACAACAGUAAUUCAGCAAAUGACGUUGAUUUCAGCACAACUUUGACAUAAGCUCUACAUUGCGAUUGUGACAACAUAGCUUAUGAAAUCUUUUCAGCUUAUUAAGUAGCUCUUUGGUAAACACCAAAGAAGUUUCUGAUAGUGUCUGCACAACAGCAAACCAACAUUUGGUGAGGAAUUAGCAAUUUCUUGCCAAAGAAAAUUGAUUCUGCCCAAUUAUUUUUUGAGCUACACUUGUGUUUUAGCAUGUCUGUUUCUGUAAUAUUGAGAGUUAUUUUAUAGAAAUGAUUUCUUAAUUAGCUGUUGUGAGAUAUUUCUCGGGUCCUUGCAGAAAAAAAACAUACAGACUGUGAACAAAUCAUUCACAAACAGAAUAAAACAGAGCCAACAACAGUAUUUUAAGGGUCACUUGCCUCCUGUUGACACAAUUGUUGCUAAAUCAAAAGAAGCGUUGUCCAGGUGUGUCUACAUCUAGUGUUACUUUUAAUGAGAAUUUGAAUGUUUAUUGAACAAUAGUACUUGAAUGAACAUUUAUAAAUGUAAUUAUUGCGAUCACUGGUUAAGAAUGUUUUAUAUAUCCUUAUAAUAUUUUUCACUGAUCAAAAUGUUGUUCUGCUUUUUCAUUUCUUAAGGAAUACAUGUUUGGGAUUUUUAUUUUUUACGUGUCCGAAGAUAAGCUCCAGGUCUUAUCGUAUCCCUUGCCAUCUGAACUUGUUUGCACUGCUUCCGUUUGAAAGAGCAUCUUGAAAAACUUCCCCGGUAUGAUGAUUGUUGGUAACAACUUUUUCUAUAGUCAUUGCAAAAUUGCUGCUACCAGUAGAUCAUGAUGGAGGGGAAAUCACUGGAGAUCAAAUAUGUAAAAUCAUUUCAAAUAUAAAAUCCAGUUUACUCAUGGAUUUUAGCUAUUUUUUCACUGGGUAAAUUAUACUACAUUUAUUUACAAAUGAGUUUAUGCAUUUUCAUGGCUCUUAAUAAACAUAUUGUUUUCCCUU